UGCUAGCUGGUAUCAGGAUCAGCUAUGAUCUCCGGGACGCUCAGGUGGGCAUAAGCUUCUCUCUAGCUCCAGGCUAAUAAAGACCAGUCUUCAUGAGCCCUGAGGGCAAGUUGGGAGGGCUGGAGCCAAGGGACUAUUUGUUUGCCUUGAAACUUUGUUUAUUUCUCAUUUCUUUCAGUUCUGUGGCCCUCACCAGCACACAAGAGCUGUAAUACAGAAAGGACUCGGCUCUCAGUCAAACAAAAUGAUCAAAGCUUAGCAAGGAUGCUCCCUGAUUCACCUCUAGAGAUUCCUCUACCUCAAACAGGUUUAGCAUUUCUAUCCAAGGAGCCCCUCGUGUGGAGCUGCAGUUCUAUGAAGAAGCCAGAUCUAUCCUGAGGAGGCUGCAGACUGACCUUGGCCAACUGGAACAUGGUGAUGGUGGAGGUAGAAAGCUAUGGGGCAAGAGCCAAAGUGUGCCUUCAGCUGCCUUAGUCCCUUUUGUAGCCUUUCCUUUCAACCUCUACAUCCUGCCCAACAUGCUCACCACUACAGGUAAAACUCUCAGAAUGCAUCACCAAGCCUAUCAGACAUCCACCCUCCACCACCUCUAAAGCUAAGGAUGCCGUGAGAUAACAUCUGACAUCUCCUGAGGACGUUUCUGAAAAUGGUAGCCUGGCCACCUAUUGGUCCCACCAGUGUACUUAGUACUACAUACUAAAUGCAUUAGUAUGUAGCUUUCUUUUAUUGUGUGACUCUAGAGUUGAUGUAACCUCUUCCACAGAAGAGCACAUUAUUCAGGUAACCUGAACCCAUGUUCCUCAGGCUGCGGUCAUUCAUGUUUGACUCAGAAUAAACUAUCUCAUGUUUC